AAAACCCUACUCUCCACAUUUCACUUCAGCCGCCUCACGCCCUCACCCUCAUUAUUUUCUUUUCUUCUUUACACAGACGCUUGGAUCCAAUUGCCUCAUCCUUGCCGCCGAUCCAAAAAAAAAAAAAAAAAAAAAUCCUGAUCUGAUCUGAUCUGUUCUGCUCUGUUUCUCUGUUACUUGAUUCUCUUUUACUAUAAACUGAUUCUUUUAUUACUUAUACAAAUCGGUACGUUCAUCUUCAGCUUUGUUUUUAAAAAAAGCGAAGAUCGAUCAUCAACGAUCAUGAAACCGGUAGAUCGAAGGAAUGAACUGCCAGAACCUUGACGGCCGCAACAUCACAGUCAACGAGGCUUAGUCUCGUGAUAACGGAGGCGGCGGUGGUGGCGGAGGCUACAGCCGUGGUGGAGGUGGUUACGGAGGCGGCGGACAUCGCGAAGGUGGAGGAUUCGCUUCGGGAUCUGAGGAAAACGUCGUCGUCGUCAUCGGCGGUGGCCCUGGUGGUUACGUGGUCGCCAUCAAAGCCGCUCAGUUGGGUCUGAAGACCACUCCAGCUUUUACUUUCAUACUUGCCAUCAUCUCCAGGAUCAAAAAUCAUCAAAAAAUAUAUGUUCUUUGAUUGCGAAAACCGGAGAUAUCACUUUGUGUCCUUACAAUGAUAAGUGCGGAUUUAGCCACGACGUGGAAGGGUUUAAAGCUCAGAAACCGGAGGAUAUAGAAGGGGAGUGCCCGUUUUUGGAUUCAGAGGAGCCGUGUCCUUAUGGCUUAGCUUGUAGGUUUUUGGGCACGCAUAAAAGUAAAGAUAAAGAUGGUGUUUUGGGUGGUAAGAAGAAGAUGAGUGAUGAGUGUAAUGGGUUGAAUAAGGAUGUAUAGAAGCUUUUGUGGAAAAAUAAAAUGAAAUUUCCCAAGGCUGAUGCCAAGCUCAAAGCUCUUGGUCUCCUGGUAACUAUGCUAAGAUUUUACUUUUCUACUUAAAAUGCAUUUAUGUAUUUGUAUUUUUAUCUUGCAUACUACCUUCAUUGUUAUUUAGAAAGAGAAGCUUGUAAAGAUUUUUGUACGGGUUUUAUUGAUUUAGAGAGUGUGUAUGAUAGAGACUAUAGACUACGUAGAGAGAUUAUGGGGUGGGUUUAGAUAAGAUUAAGGAUAUGUACAACGCUAGUUGUAACUGGCGUGAGAACAAAUGGAUCGAUAAUUCAUAUUCAUCUUUUUCUCUUGCA